rnacentral:lncRNA from 1 species
GGGGAAUUGUAGGACUUCGCGAUUGAUUGGCUGGAGCCUCUGCAAGACAUCACUCUCACCCUAUCUAGUUCCAAAACAUCCAGCAGCAGAUCCAUGCUCUGUUCUUUGAAGUUAAACUCAGAUAGGUGCCAUAGCCAGCUACUGAAGUUCACAAAGUUUUUUACUGAUAGGACUUGGAGUAUUUCAAUCUCUACACUCAUUCUCAUCACGUCCGUGUAUCCUUCCAGGUAUGGCGGCCAUCAGCCACUUCCAAAUCUUGACACUGCACUUCCAGGAGCUUGAGAAGACGAGAGAUCUGUCAGCCACAUUGAUGGUAGAGCGGAAAAGGAAAAGAUUUAAUCUCUUGUGAGCAGUUUGGCAGUGAGAAUGGUCACUUGAGUUGGAAGCAGUGAACCAUCCAAGUCGCAGCUUUCCUCAUGAUCUUUUUCAGCUUGUUCGGUAAGAACUUCUUGGGACUUUGAUGAUCUAACGAAGAGAAUUUCCAGAGAAGUUUGGUGGUAUCUUUCAUUGAUCCCCAUGGCAAUGGUGGCUGCGUGCGCUUCGCAGUCUUGGGUGAGUUUUCUUUCCCUAACUCACGUUAAUGUAAUGUCGAUCCAACCUCAGCUGCGAGUGGUUUCUUGUAUCUCCAGUUCACAAACCUCAAUCUGCCUUCAUGUUUAUGGCUUUCUUGGUCCCGAAAUACAUUCGAGAGUUUGUAAUCUUGGCCAAGUUCACACGACAAGACAAAAUUCAAGCGUGUCCAUCCGACUGUUUUGCUUCUCACCUCUUAAAAUUUCAGGGGAAGCUCAUCACUGACUUAGGCUGUAGGACGAGUACCCUCUUCUUGACUGGAUCCUAGGCAGUGGACUUCCGAGCUCAACUGAACCACCUCCAGGCCUUGCUGUCAUCAGCCUCAAGCCUCCACCCAAAAGAUUCCUCAAAUCUGCUUACGACGCACAUCGGAUUAAACCACCACCUUUUUUAAGGCUCAAUUUAGCCACGUGGCUAUGGCACGGUACUCCUAGAACAUGAAUAAAACAAGAAUGAGAAAAGAAUCUUUUUGCAGUGUCGCAGAUCCCAUAAGAGCUUGAAGAGAAACCGGCCUUGGAGUUCCGGACCGUUUCAACUCGAAUAUAUAACAGCGGCAGAACAUUCGGAUAAAAUGGAAUCGGAAAGCAAUACCCC